CCUACGGGAGGCAGCAGUGGGGAAUAUUGGACAAUGGGCGAAAGCCUGAUCCAGCAAUGCCGCGUGAGUGAUGAAGGCCUUAGGGUUGUAAAGCUCUUUUACCAGGGAUGAUAAUGACAGUACCUGGAGAAUAAGCUCCGGCUAACUCCGUGCCAGCAGCCGCGGUAAUACGGAGGGAGCUAGCGUUGUUCGGAAUUACUGGGCGUAAAGCGUACGUAGGCGGUUAUUCAAGUCAGAGGUGAAAGCCUGGAGCUCAACUCCAGAACUGCCUUUGAAACUAGAUAGCUAGAAUCACGGAGAGGUUAGUGGAAUUCCGAGUGUAGAGGUGAAAUUCGUAGAUAUUCGGAAGAACACCAGUGGCGAAGGCGACUAACUGGACGUGUAUUGACGCUGAGGUACGAAAGCGUGGGGAGCAAACAGGAUUAGAUACCCUGGUAGUCCACGCCGUAAACGAUGAUAACUAGCUGUUCGGUCUCUACGAGACUGAGUGGCGCAGCUAACGCAUUAAGUUAUCCGCCUGGGGAGUACGGUCGCAAGAUUAAAACUCAAAGGAAUUGACGCUGAGAGNGCGAGACGACGACGAGGAGAG
rnacentral:rRNA from 1 species